rnacentral:rRNA from 1 species
UGGGGAAUAUUGCACAAUGGGCGCAAGCCUGAUGCAGCCAUGCCGCGUGUAUGAAGAAGGCCUUCGGGUUGUAAAGUACUUUCAGCGGGGAGGAAGGGAGUAAAGUUAAUACCUUUGCUCAUUGACGUUACCCGCAGAAGAAGCACCGGCUAACUCCGUGCCAGCAGCCGCGGUAAUACGGAGGGUGCAAGCGUUAAUCGGAAUUACUGGGCGUAAAGCGCACGCAGGCGGUUUGUUAAGUCAGAUGUGAAAUCCCCGGGCUCAACCUGGGAACUGCAUCUGAUACUGGCAAGCUUGAGUCUCGUAGAGGGGGGUAGAAUUCCAGGUGUAGCGGUGAAAUGCGUAGAGAUCUGGAGGAAUACUGGUGGCGAAGGCGGCCCCCUGGACGAAGACUGACGCUCAGGUGCGAAAGCGUGGGGAGCAAACAGG